AGUGAACGCUGGCGGCAGGCUUAACACAUGCAAGUCGAGCGCCCCGCAAGGGGAGCGGCAGACGGGUGAGUAACACGUGGGAAUCUACCCAUCCCUACGGAACAACUCCGGGAAACUGGAGCUAAUACCGUAUACGCCCUUUGGGGGAAAGAUUUAUCGGGGAUGGAUGAGCCCGCGUUGGAUUAGCUAGUUGGUGGGGUAAAGGCCUACCAAGGCGACGAUCCAUAGCUGGUCUGAGAGGAUGAUCAGCCACAUUGGGACUGAGACACGGCCCAAACUCCUACGGGAGGCAGCAGUGGGGAAUAUUGGACAAUGGGCGCAAGCCUGAUCCAGCCAUGCCGCGUGAAUGAUGAAGGCCUUAGGGUUGUAAAGUUCUUUCACCGAUGAAGAUAAUGACGGUAGUCGGAGAAGAAGCCCCGGCUAACUUCGUGCCAGCCGCCGCGGUAA
rnacentral:rRNA from 1 species